AGAGUAACUUACAAUGAAAUAAUGCUUGCAUUCAAGUAACCUGGAAUGCUCAACUCAACAAGGAUAGUGAAAGAGGGAGUGCCUAUAUAUCAAAUAAAGAAUCAUCAGAUACUGGAGUGGUUUGCUAUUUCCUUCCCAACCUUGUUUUACAGAUGAGGAAACUGAGGAAAACAGGGUGAAGUGUCUUGCCCAAUGUCACCCAGAUAAUUACAGAAGGAGUUGAGUCAUGAGAGCUUCUGAACUUGACUGGUCCCAGCCCAGAAGUCUGCUUCGAUGACAUGCUUCAUCACUUAUAUACUGCCUGUGUCACUGUUCUAACUAAAACCACUAUCAGCAAAAAUCUAAUGGCCUGAUUUUUAAAGACAAGGUACUAUAGCAGAAUAUAUGCUGAUUUUGGAGAAAGGGAUAUUGCUUUUUCUCUUAUCUUACUAGCUAUUUCCCCCCCAUAUACAUCACUUGACUGCUCUGUGCCUCAGCUUUCUCAGUUGUAAAACAAAUAUAGUAAUACAUAUUCUACCUAACUCAUGGCUUUGAUGUAAGGAAAGCAUUCUGAAAAUUUUUAAAUGCUAAGUAAACAUGAAAAGGCUUAAAAUACUUAGUAAAUUUAGUCCAAUGAAUAUCUCCAAAAUGAAAGAUUUGAGACAGAGUAAUGGGAAGUGUUGGAUUUAGAAUUAGAAAAGAAAUAAGUAUAAAUCCUCACUCCAACAUUUACUAAAUGUGAAUUUGGGCAAAUCACUUCAUGUUUUCAUUUUCUUCUUGAAAAAUAGAGAGUUUAUAGGGCAGCUAGGUGGCACAGUGGAUAGAGCACCAGCCCUGAAGUCAGGAGGAUCCGAGUUCAAAUUUGAUCUCAUACACUUAACACUGCCUAGCUUGUGACCCUGGGCAAGUCACUUAAUCCCAUUGUCUCAGAAAAAAAAAAUUAAAACAAAAAAAAUUAGAGAGGUUGCAUUGGAUUCUCAGGUCUCUUCCAGCUCUGAAUCUAUGAACCAGAUUGCAUGGGAAUAGCCUUUCUUCCUUUUCCUAAUGCUUCUAAGAAAGAAUGGAGACUUACACUGUGCUUUCGUCUCAGAAAAAAGUAGCAGCAUUUUAUUUUAUUUAUUGACUUUCUAAGUCUGAAGAAAAGCCCUCUGCUGGUGAUUUAGGGAUAAAUGUUAAUUGAGGAGGAGGCCUAUAUUUAGAGGUUUGGCUGGGACCGGAUGAACACUUCGCCUAAACUGCCAAUACAAAGAGUAUUUGAAAGUAAUAUUUUCAAGGCUUAAAUAACUUUUUUUUUACCAGAGACUUCUGCAAUCUAUUUGAAUGUUAUUUGGACAGAGGUCAAUUAAAGUUGCAAAGAGAGGGCAUAUCCGUGUUUUGUGUCUGUUUGCUGACUUUCUAAGAAGAAGCUGCCAAAUUCCAGACAACUGUACAUCACCCAUAACCAUGACAACAAAUAUACACAUAACAUUUGUGCAUCAAUCUCUCACCCCUCCAUAUCCUUUAAAUUCUUGCUGUUAUCCACCAGAUGGUGCUACUUCCUUAAGAUUAUAGAAAGUAACAAUAAUCUUCAUUGUUGCUUUUAAGAAAUGUG
ensembl:lncRNA